rnacentral:rRNA from 1 species
UACGAGAGGCCCAAACGUUAUUCGGAAUUACUGGGCUUAAAGAGUUCGUAGGCGGCGCAGCAAGUAGGGUGUGAAAGCCCUCGGCUCAACCGAGGAAUUGCGCUCUAAACUACUGUGCUUGAGGAACCUAGAGGUGAGCAGAACAGAUGGUGGAGCGGUGAAAUGCGUGGAUAUCAUCUGGAAUACCGGAGGCGAAGGCGGCUCACUGGGGUUUUCUGACGCUGAGGAACGAAAGCCAGGGUAGCGAACGGG